UACAGAGGGGGCAAGCGUUGUUCGGAAUUACUGGGCGUAAAGGGCGCGUAGGCGGCCUUCUAAGUCGAACGUGAAAUCCCCGGGCUCAACCCGGGAACUGCGUCCGAUACUGGAAGGCUUGAAUCCGGGAGAGGGAUGCGGAAUUCCAGGUGUAGCGGUGAAAUGCGUAGAUAUCGGGAGGAACACCAGUAGCGAAGGCGGCUCGCUGGGCCACACCUGACGCUGAGACGCGAAAGCUAGGGGAGCGAACAGG
rnacentral:rRNA from 1 species